rnacentral:rRNA from 1 species
GUACACGCUGUGACUAGCAUAUCAAUAAGCGGAGGAAAAGAAACUAACAAGGAUUCCCUCAGUAACGGCGAGUGAAGCGGGAAGAGCUCAAAUUUGAAAUCUUGAAAGGUCACCUUUCACGAAUUGUAGUUUAAAGAAGUGUUUUCUGUUACGAUCGUAAUAUAAGUUCUUUGGAAUAGGACAUCACAGAGGGUGAGAAUCCCGUCUAUGAUUGCGAUUUGUAGCUUUGUGAUACACUUUCAAAGAGUCGGGUUGUUUGGGAAUGCAGCCCAAAACGGGAGGUAAAUUUCUCCUAAGGCUAAAUAUUGGCGAGAGACCGAUAGCGAACAAGUACCGUGAGGGAAAGAUGAAAAGAACUUUGAAAAGAGAGUUAAACAGUACGUGAAAUUGUCAAAAGGGAAGCGUUUGACACCAGUGUUGUUUUCUCGAAAAUCAAUUAAAAAUGGCUCGAUUUUGUAUUGCUGAGACCUUAAAAGCUCACUGUACAUUUUUCGUGUCUUUUUUAAUGCACUUUUCGUUUAACAAGUCAACAUCAGUUUCUUUUGUUGUAAAAGGGUCAUUGGAAGGUGGCUUUCUUUUCGGAGAAAGUGUUUAUAGCCUUUGGCCUCUGCAAUCGGAGAGACUGAGGUCUGCAGCGUAGACUCUUCGGGGUUAGAUACAUUUGUGCUAAGUUAUAGCUUUUUAUAGACAACUUGUUGACUAUAAUUAGUCUUGUAGCUUACUCGCUUAUGCUAUUUUACCUACGCUUAGGAUGUUGAGUAGCGACAUACGCAC